ensembl:lncRNA
CAGCCAGGAAGCAUUACCCACUGACUUCCACCCCUCACUUACAGGCUGCUCUCAGCACUUGGAGGCUGGCGUAAGUGCCUUGCACACUGGCUUCUGCGGUUUUCUCCGCCUCCCGGGCUGUCCCAGCUGAGUCCUGGACGUCAGAGCUCCCUCGCACCUGUUCUUCGCCAAACUCCCAGCGCGUGGAGAGGGCCUCGGCGGGGAUGGAACUCGGGUCCUUCUGAUUGUGAGGCAGGCGGUGGAACCACUGAGCUAAAUCCCCGGCCCAGCCCUGUUUCUUCAAACUUUCAUUUUAUACAGUUUUUCUUCAUACCACACCAGCGCAUUUC